rnacentral:rRNA from 1 species
GCCUACGGCCAUGCCACCCUGCACAAGCCCAACCCACUCUGAUCUUGGAAGCUAAGCAAGGUCAGGCCUGGUUAGUACUUGGAUGGGAGACCACCUAGAAAGACCAGGUGCUGUAGGCU